rnacentral:rRNA from 1 species
GGAAACCGGAGCUAAUACCGGAUAAUAUAUUUAACCGCAUGGUUCAAUAGUGAAAGACGGUUUUGCUGUCACUUAUAGAUGGAUCCGCGUCGCAUUAGCUAGUUGGUAAGGUAACGGCUUACCAAGGCAACGAUGCGUAGCCGACCUGAGAGGGUGAUCGGCCACACUGGAACUGAGACACGGUCCAG